UACGGAGGGGGCUAGCGUUGUUCGGAAUGACUGGGCGUAAAGCGCGCGUAGGCGGAUCGGUAAGUUGGGGGUGAAAUCCCGGGGCUCAACCCUGGAAUUGCCUUCAAAACUCCCGGUCUUGAGUUCGAGAGAGGUGAGUGGAAUUCCGAGUGUAGAGGUGAAAUUCGUAGAUAUUCGGAGGAACACCAGUGGCGAAGGCGGCUCACUGGCUCGAUACUGACGCUGAGGUGCGAAAGCGUGGGGAGCAAACAGG
rnacentral:rRNA from 1 species